AUUGAACGCUAGCGGGAUGCUUUACACAUGCAAGUCGAACGAGUGGCGGACGGGUGAGUAAUAUAUAGGAACGUGCCCAGUAGCGGGGGAUAACUACUCGAAAGUGUGGCUAAUACCGCAUACCAUUGGAGCGGCCGACAUCGGAGUAGCUAGUUGGUGUGGUAAAGGCUCACCAAGGCAACGAUCCGUAGCUGGGUUGAGAGGACGACCAGCCACACUGGGACUGAUACAAGGCCCAGACUCCGACGGGAGGCAGCAGUGGGGAAUUUUGGGCAAUGGGGGAAACCCUGACCCAGCCAUCCCGCGUGUAUGAGAAGGCCUUCGGGUUGUAAAGUUCUUUCAGUCGGGAGGCGUUACCGACAGAAGAAGCACCGGCUAACUCCGUGCCAGCAGCCGCGGUAAUUC
rnacentral:rRNA from 1 species